GCGUCGUCCGAUCAUUCUUGGAUAUCUGCUGGCAAUCCAUUUUGGAUUUUGCCAUGCACAGUGCAACUUCUGUUCAUCGGACACAAAGAAAGCAUGUGUUUCCAAAACCCAAUACCAAAACUGCACUACGGAUAAUAAGCCUACAGGACCGAUCUAUACCUGUCCCAAUAACACUUACUGCUCCUUUUCCAAUGAAGUGUGCUCUGCAAACACGGCUCUGACUGCCUGCGCAGAAUGCAAUCAGUGUGGAGUUUUUUUCGCAUGUACGGGAAUCAGUAGUUUCGCGCCAUGUUUUCAAGGAGCCGUGAUCACCAAUCAGACAUAUAACUGCAGUCCAGGAGAGGUGUGCAGUAAAAGCCUAACACUUGCUUGUGGCUCAUCUGCGUCAGGUGCAGUGCCCUCCUGUUCAUACUACGAUAAUGUUGCAGAAAUAGAAAGCUAUUGCCAAAUCAAGGCCUCAGCCGGCCGCGUUCCAUAUCCCAAUGAUCCCACUUGUUCUAGAUAUAUCAACUGUUUCUAUAAAGGUUCUGCUUGGAAUGGAACUGUCUGGAAUUGUCCUGCAACUAAACCUUAUUUCAGUUCUAGUACCCUUAUUUGCAGUGCCUCAAAACCAACAAAUUGCACUUAAUUUUAAAACGAUUUACAAUUUGUAAAUAACUUACACCUUGGUGUGAAUAUCAAAUAUACUUUGAUAUUCUUUACAUAAAA